AGCUUUUCAAAAACGUAAAAUUAGAGAAUAAAAAACUUGUGAGGAACCGACCGUCUCUAGAGCAUAUGGCAAAGGACUUGAUGAUUGGUAUUCGAGAUCCAAGUUCGAAUUCUAGUUGAUUCAUAUUUCUAGCUAAGUUUAUUUCUAAAUGAUAUAAACGAAGCUGGUAGCGUGCUAUCUAUCUCUCAAAAAAANGCUUUUCAAAAACGUAAAAUUAGAGAAUAAAAAACUUGUGAGGAACCGACCGUCUCUAGAGCAUAUGGCAAAGGACUUGAUGAUUGGUAUUCGAGAUCCAAGUUCGAAUUCUAGUUGAUUCAUAUUUCUAGCUAAGUUUAUUUCUAAAUGAUAUAAACGAAGCUGGUAGCGUGCUAUCUAUCUCUCAAAAAAAAAAAAAAAAAAAAAACUUGUGAGGAUAUUUCUGCACUUGGCGCAUCGCAGCCGCAGAUUUUUUUGCAUCGUUGGGCAAGAUAAAGGUGCUGUUUGGAACUGCGUAAAAUUGAAAACGAAAAACUCGUGAGUUUCGCAAACUCGACUUCACUUUUCAUCCCCACUGAAGUCAAAAAGCCUAUUUUUUAUGGAAUUGUGAGUGAGAGUUCGAAUGGUCUCGUGAUUUUGGUGCUUAAACAAAUACAAAUGCUUGCGACUUUAUUAUAAUCACAAGUUCAAUCUAUCUG
rnacentral:lncRNA from 1 species